CAGUAGGGAAUCUUCGGCAAUGGGCGAAAGCCUGACCGAGCAACGCCGCGUGAGCGAUGAAGGCCUUCGGGUCGUAAAGCUCUGUUGUUAGAGAAGAACAAGUACGAGAGUAACUGCUCGUACCUUGACGGUACCUAACCAGAAAGCCACGGCUAACUACGUGCCAGCAGCCGCGGUAAUACGUAGGUGGCAAGCGUUAUCCGGAAUUAUUGGGCGUAAAGCGCGCGCAGGCGGUCUCUUAAGUCUGAUGUGAAAGCCCACGGCUCAACCGUGGAGGGUCAUUGGAAACUGGGAGACUUGAGUGCAGGAGAGAAAAGUGGAAUUCCACGUGUAGCGGUGAAAUGCGUAGAGAUGUGGAGGAACACCAGUGGCGAAGGCGGCUUUUUGGCCUGUAACUGACGCUGAGGCGCGAAAGCGUGGGGAGCAAACAGGAUUAGAUACCCUGGUAGUCCACGCCGUAAACGAUGAGUGCUAGGUGUUGGGGGGUUCCAC
rnacentral:rRNA from 1 species